rnacentral:rRNA from 1 species
UACGUAGGGUGCGAGCGUUAAUCGGAAUUGCUGGGCGUAAAGCGUGCGCAGGCGGUCUGUUAAGACCGAUGUGAAAUCCCCGGGCUUAACCUGGGAACUGCAUUGGUGACUGGCAGGCUUUGAGUGUGGCAGAGGGAGGUAGAAUUCCACGUGUAGCAGUGAAAUGCGUAGAGAUGUGGAGGAAUACCGAUGGCGAAGGCAGCCUCCUGGGCCAACACUGACGCUCAUGCACGAAAGCGUGGGGAGCAAACAGG